rnacentral:rRNA from 1 species
CUACGGGGCGCAGCAGUGGGGAAUAUUGGACAAUGGGGGAAACCCUGAUCCAGCAAUGCCGCGUGUGUGAAGAAGGCCUGCGGGUUGUAAAGCACUUUCGGUUGGGAGGACUGCUUCUAGCACUAAUAUUGUUGGAAGUUGACGUUACCUUCAGAAGAAGCACCGGCUAACUCCGUGCCAGCAGCCGCGGUAAUACGGAGGGUGCAAGCUUUAAUCGGAAUUACUGGGCGUAAAGCGCGCGUAGGCGGCUAGAUCAGUCGGGUGUGAAAGCCCCGGGCUUAACCUGGGAACUGCAUCCGAUACUGUCUAGCUUGAGUACAGGAGAGGAGAGUGGAAUUCCACAUGUAGCGGUGACAUGCGUAGAUAUGUGGAGGAACACCAAUGGCGAAGGCAGCUCUCUGGCCUGAUACUGACGCUGAGGUGCGAAAGCGUGGGGAGCAAACAGGAUUAGAUACCCCCGUAGUC